AGAGUUUGAUCCUGGCUCAGAAUGAACGCUGGCGGCGUGCCUAACACAUGCAAGUCGAACGGGAACACCCCUGCUUGCAGGGGUAAGUAAAGUGGCGCACGGGUGAGUAACACGUGGGUAAUCUGCCUCCGGAUCCGGGAUAACGCUGCGAAAGCGGCGCUAAUACCGGAUGUGAUAAGGGGAACUCCGGUUUCCGUUAUCAAAGACGGCCUCUGCACGCAAGCCGUUGUCCGGGGAUGAGCCCGCGCACCAUUAGCUGGUUGGCGGGGUAACGGCCCACCAAGGCUGCGAUGGUUAGCUGGUCUGAGAGGAUGAUCAGCCACACCGGAACUGGAACACGGUCCGGACUCCUACGGGAGGCAGCAGUGAGGAAUUUUGCGCAAUGGGGGAAACCCUGACGCAGCAACGCCGCGUGAGUGAGGAAGGCCUUCGGGUCGUAAAGCUCUGUCAGGCGGGAAGAAUCCGGGGAUGUGCAAUAUAUGUCCCCGCUGACGGUACCGCCGGAGGAAGCACCGGCUAACUCCGUGCCAGCAGCCGCGGUAAUACGGAGGGUGCAAGCGUUAUUCGGAAUUAUUGGGCGUAAAGGGCGCGCAGGCGGUUUUCCAAGUCGGAUGUGAAAGCCCGGGGCUUAACCCCGGAAGCGCAUCUGAUACUGGAAGGCUUGAGUAUGGGAGAGGGAAGCGGAAUUCCUGGUGUAGCGGUGAAAUGCGUAGAUAUCAGGAGGAACACCGGCGGCGAAGGCGGCUUCCUGGACCAAUACUGACGCUGAGGCGCGAAGGCGCGGGGAGCAGACAGGAUUAGAUACCCUGGUAGUCCGCGCAGUAAACGGUGACCACUGGGUGUGGCGGGUAUUUACCCCUGCCGCGCCGAAGCUAACGCAUUAAGUGGUCCGCCUGGGGAGUACGGUCGCAAGAUUAAAACUCAAAGGAAUUGACGG
rnacentral:rRNA from 1 species